GGGCACGUAGCUCAGUUGGACAGAGCGUCGGACUUCUAACCCCGGAGGUCCCCACGGGGGGAGCCAUCCGGUGGUCGUGGGUUCGAAUCCCACCGUGCCCG
rfam:Halophilic archaeon DL31, complete genome.